CGUGGGAGGCUGGGUGAGGAGUCGCUUGGAGACCAGCCCAGAGCACUUCUCCAGAACCACACGCCCUCUAAGCACAGUGACCUGAAUUUCGGAUAUGUAUAAAAGUGGAGAUAAAACAAUCUGUGACUUACAGUGGAUGCAUCAGGGAAGGAAAGGGAUGGAUCCUUGAGUGAAAACCGUGGCAGAAGAACAAACGCUAGGCUCUGAAGACUGCAUGUGCGUCACCAGAAUCCCAGGGAGUGCGUCCGGAGGUCCUUCUCCCGAGCUCUGCUCCACAUAGCCAGCAAAGCCCAGGCUGCCAUUCGCCACAUCGCACCUGUGUGCAUCUGUCUGCCUCCCAUUAGCAAGAGACCAGAAAUAGUAAACGACUACCAGGUUCCAGUGGGAAGUGGAUGAAGAGUCCACAAAGCUGAACUUCAGAGCAUUUUAACAGGUUGAAAAAUAGAAGAUCACAGAAGCCACCUGGGCCACGGAAGCGGGAGAGGCUCAUUCACAAGGUCACCUCGGAGUAUCGUCCAGCGAGGGAGCUGUUUCUCCAUAGAACCAUGCCACAAACAGGAUGCUGUGGACAGCAGGACUAGGCGGCCGACUUACAGCUAAACACAUAAGUAAAAGGCCUCACAAUCAGCAGCUUUCGAAGCCGUGCUUCUGAGAGAUUCUUCCUCUGUUCUCCAUGCUCCCUCCCCCUGGUUGCCCACCGGGUGUCACAUGUGGGUGCCCACUGGAAGCUGAACACCACUCCCCGUGCUGUGCUGUGGGCCAUCUCGGUGUCUCAGAGAAGUGGCUUGGCCACAGACACACAGAAAGAGCUCAAGCUGAGACAAGCUGUAUUUUUUAAUUAAGCUGUGUAUUGUUAGUCAAAAACGCAUUUUGGAGAAUAUUUGACAAACAUUCUGACUAAAGAUGGUGAAACGAUGAAAGGCCAAAUGUCCACCGUCCUUACUACAAAAUGAAAUUAACAGCACUAAGUAGUUAUACACAAAUUUUAAACACAAGAGAGGUAAGACUGAGCUUUAAGUUUUUCCAGGAACCACUAAACAAAGGGCCCAGAUGGCGAUUACUUACCAAAGUGACAGGUCGGGAAAGGAGGAGGACUUCUGUGCCACUGUGGCUUGCAGUCUCUUACCCAGUCCUCCCAGGCAGAGGAAGAACGGGUGCCGGUGAGGUACA